rnacentral:lncRNA from 1 species
UUUGGUUGUAAAGAUAUAAGAAGCAGGCUAGUGAACAUGUCCAAAUAGAGAUAGUUAUAUUGGUGUGCAAACAGAUUAUGUAUUUCAGACAUAGUAGAUUAGGAAAACAUAAAGCAUGGUGUAGGUAGAACUUAAACUAGGCAUGUCAGGAGAGAGAGCUGUAUAACAUGCUAUCUAUAACAAGUGAACUAUAUGCACUGCAGAGCCAGAAGGCUGAAUUUAUCCCUUAA